rnacentral:lncRNA from 1 species
UUGUCUCGGCUGCGGCAGCAGUAGUGAAGUUGGAUUGUGUCUCUCCUUGGGAGAGUUGUGAUACCUGGUGGCUGAUGUUUUGUCUUUAUUUUAAAGGCGGCGACAACAGCGACACUGGUGGUAGUUGUUGGGCUGUGGUGCUCUUCUCUACUCUGCGCCAAUCGAAGAACUAUGCUUGGUCAUAUGAGGUUUUCUUUGUCAGGUUCUGAGUUAAAAUGGUGUGCUUUUCAUGGGUCUUUUUA